rnacentral:rRNA from 1 species
CAAUAGCGUAUAUUAAAGUUGUUGCAGUUAAAAAGCUCGUAGUUGGAUUUGUGGCAUGUGCCGUGGCAUCCAAAUUUUUGGUAUUGCCGUGGCCAUGCCAUCCUUGGGUGGAAUCUGUGUGGCAUUAGGUUGUCGUGCAGGGGAUGCCCAUCAUUUACUGUGAAAAAAUUAGAGUGUUCAAAGCAGGCUUAUGCCGUUGAAUAUAUUAGCAUGGAAUAAUAAGAUAGGUCUUUGGUCCUAUUUUGUUGGUUUGCGGACCUAAGAAAUGAUUAACAGGGACAGUUGGGGGUAUUCGUAUUCCAUUGUCAGAGGUGAAAUUCUUGGAUUUCUGGAAGACGAACUACUGCGAAAGCAUUUACCAAGGAUGUUUUCAUUAA